GCGGAAGUGGCGGAAUUGGUAGACGCACCAGAUUUAAGUUCUGGCGCCGUAAGGUGUGAGAGUACAAGUCUCUCCUUCCGCACCA
rnacentral:tRNA from 1 species